GACGAACGCUGGCGGCGUGCUUAACACAUGCAAGUCGUACGGUAAGGCCCUUUCGGGGGUCCACGAGUGGCGAACGGGUGAGUAACACGUGAGUAACCUGCCCACAACUUUGGGAUAACGCUAGGAAACUGGUGCUAAUACUGGAUAUGUGCCCCUGCUGCAUGGUGGGGGUUGGAAAGCUCCGGCGGUUGUGGAUGGACUCGCGGCCUAUCAGCUUGUUGGUGGGGUAGUGGCCUACCAAGGCGGCGACGGGUAGCCGGCCUGAGAGGGUGACCGGCCACAUUGGGACUGAGAGACGGCCCAGACUCCUACGGGAGGCAGCAGGGGGGAAUAUUGCACAAUGGGCGCAAGCCUGAUGCAGCAACGCCGCGGGCGGGAUGACGGCCUUCGGGUUGUAAACCGCUUUCAGCAGGGACGAAGCUUUUUGUGACGGUACCUGCAGAAGAAGCACCGGCUAACUACGUG
rnacentral:rRNA from 1 species